CACUCACAGGCUAGGAGCCGCCAGCACCGAGCCGUCCGUCUGUCACAGCUCAUUACAGUCAUUAGUGCGCGCCAGUUUAAGUUCAGGGACUAUUGUGUAAGAAGCUUUGUUUUUCACAGGUGAGAUUGCAAGCUCGCGUGGGCGCGCCGCUCGCCGCUCAGUUAGAGUUCGGCAUCGCCGCUGCUCGCACGAACCUCUCCGUCGCAUAAAGCGCAACGAACGACUUCCAAAAUGGCCACCGGUCCGAAAAUAGUGCACAAGCAAUUCAAUUCGCCCAUCGGUCUCUACUCCCAGCAAAACAUCCAGGAAACGUUGAGCAAGCAUAUGCAGAAUCUCGACAAUGGCACCGUGGGUAUUAACUUCCAUAACCCGGGUACCGACAAACCGGCCAAUCUGGCCAACUCGGCCGUUCUGCGCAUGCUAGAGGAGGAAGAACGCAGCCGCAAAGGAUUACCUAAAUUAGACCCCACCCAAAUCCAGGCGAUUUUGGAGAACCUUGUCCGCACGCAACGAAGAUUUGACCAAAUGUGGCCGCCGAGAAAGACGAAACCGAAUCGUAAUUGGGACGGCCAAAUCAACUCCACAUCGUAUAUUUAUUCCGAUCUCAUGAAGGCUACUAAAGGUCAAAAGAAAGUAGUGUGGCCACCAACGCCCGAAACCAACGGAUACCAUCAACCACAACAGCAGCCAGCAAACUACAACAACGCCCAGCACUCUCCGUCCCAACAACAAUACUCGCCACAACAGCAACAAUAUUCCCCACAACCGCAACAAUACUCCCCGCAACCACAACAAUAUCAAUACCAACCACAGUACCAAGCACCUCAGUCCCAGAACCAAUAUCCUCAGUAUAACCAAGGAGCGCAGUCGCAGCCUUCCUACUGCGAAGGGAAACGCCAGGAAUCCACAGGGCUGAGUAAACUGAUCCCUGUAGGCCCGGGUGUCAGCGCUUCCCCAGUCGCCCCGUCUUACCGCCAGGGCCCGUUGUCGCCUAGUGCCCAGCCCUACAAACAACAGCCAGGUCGUUGGGCGCCUGUACCGGCACCCAUAUCUCCGCAGCCGACGUCUCAAAAGCCCCAGUUCAACCAGCAGCCCCAAUACUCGCCCCAGGGCCAAUACUCCCCGCAACCGCAAUACUCGGAGCCCGCCUACCAGCCACCGCAGAGGCAGUUCGAGCCCCCGCCGGCGACCAUCACCCUUCGUCCCCAGCAACCCAUCCAUCAGCAACCACCACCGGUGUUCCCUAGCCAGCCGGCCACAGCGUCGCUCAAGGGAGGCGUCAACAUGCGUGGUGAUCAGAAAUGGCCGCCGCAGUCCGUGAAGGAGGCAGUCGCUGCAGAGAACGAAGCGAGGAGGCAGCUCGCGAAAGGGCCCGCCUGCAGACCACGUAAGCUGCGUCAGUAUUCGCUUGCCGAAUUACUGGCAAUGAACGAGGUCUAAGGGACCGACGCAUUCCGACGAAACAAAGUCGAGACAUGCCGGACUUUAAUACCCCUUUAGUAAAGAAGGACUACACCAGUUUCUUCUCGCAGCACGCCCUGAACCACAGCUACACGAGCUACCGCGUCCCGCCUGGUACACAACACUUCGAAGACCUCUCCGGCCGAUCCUCGUACUAAAUAGAGUCUAAAGAUAUGAUUAAGUGGUUAAUAACACCAAGGGUUAAUACCCGUUCUCCAUCUAAACAAAUACUAUUUUAGACGGAAGUGACAAAAUCCGACUUUUUACAAUAAAUUAUCUAAACUUAUUUAAUAUAUUGUAAAUUUCGAAUUUUGUUAUCAAUAGUUAGGUGCAAUUCGAUACUCAUCAAUAAAACCAUUCUCACAAUUUUAUACUCAACGGUUGUCCCGAAUUGGACUUCAACUGGAAGUACUUGUAAAGACUUUGGCUUAUUAAAGUCUUUGUGCAUGUACUCGAUUGGUUAUUCACAAUCAGUACAUUUAAAUUUAAGUAUUAUUUAUUUUACAUAAAUCAUGAUAUAGCUUGUAAGUGUAAUUAUAUAAAAAUAUAUUUAUUAUUUUCACGAAAAACAUUCAUCGUCAUAUAGAGUUCGCAUAAUUUAAAAUUUAAUACUACGUCCAAUUCAUUGUUAUGAAAAGUUUUACAGCUAAUUAACUGCUUUAUGCUUAUAACAAUGUUAUAAUAAAGACUCAAACUGACAUGAACUGCUGUUCGGACUAUUUCACUAGUCUGUGAAUGCCUUUCGGCUUGAAUACACAUGAGGAAAAGCAGGUUGCGAGACCAUGCUUUGUAACUUGGACCCAUCAAUCAUCAAAUCCAUCCAAUCAAAAUGUCGCUUCGAUAAAACAACGAAGUUAACCUACUUAUUUUCAGGUAAUGGUUCAUCAUUUAAACUCGAUAUUGUCGAUAUACAUAAUUACCCCGCAAGUUGUGUCUACUUGCAACAUCACGGAUAUAAUGUCUCGAUAUAUUUUGCACGCUAUUCAGAGCUAGAAAGUAUUAGCAACGUCCCUUGCGUUUUUGCGUCACUGAGAUCGAGUGUUAUUAAAUAAGACAUUUUUGUCCCCUUGUGUAUUCAAUAAUCUAAACCGCAGUUUCGUUCAUUUCAAGAUUAUAUCACAUAAUUACGUACACUAAUAAUAAAGUGCAAUUUAAUUUUAUUGGCUAAGCUUUAUGUGUAUGUACCUAGUCACGACGAAAUCGCUCGAAUUUUUGUGUAUAUAAAAAGUACAAUCAAAUAAUUUUGUAUUUCAAAAUGUCAUUUAUAUUUUAUUUAAAUAAACUUUUGAAAGCCAA